UACGGAGGAUGCAAGCGUUAUCCGGGAUGAUUGGGCGUAAAGGGUCCGCAGGUGGCAAUGUAAGUCUGCUGUCAAAGAAUGAGGCUUAACCUCAUCAAGGCAGUGGAAACUACAUAGCUAGAGUACGGUCGGGGUAGAAGGAAUUCCUGGUGUAGCGGUGAAAUGCGUAGAGAUCAGGAAGAACACCGGUGGCGAAAGCGUUCUGCUAGACCUGUACUGACACUGAGGGACGAAAGCUAGGGGAGCGAAUGGG
rnacentral:rRNA from 1 species